CUAGUUUUGUUACAAAAAACAGACCAAGCUUCCGCUUGCGCCAAUCAAUCCUAAGAUCUAAGUUCAGGGUGAUCAAGCCUAGACUUAGCAGUAAUAAAGGAAAUGAAGCAGUCAUGGUCGGUGAUGGCUCCUAUCUCCCUAUAACCCACGUUGGUUCCACCAAUAUCUCGUCUCAGACAGAAAGUGGUGACAAAAGGGCCUCGAAGUAAAGGUCUUUACAUGUUGAAGGAUUCUCAGGUUAAAGUUCAUUUCUCAAACCGAUAAGUUACAACAUCUGAGACAGUGUGGCAUCAUCGGUUAGGACACUCCAAUCCAAGGAUUCUUCAACAUCUCAACAACAACAAGGAUAUCAUCAUGAAUAAGAAUAGAACAACCUCCAAUUGUGAGCCUUGUCAGAUGGGGAAGAACAAUUGUUUACAGUUUUUUUCUUCUCAGUCUUUUGUUUCUAUUCACUUAGAGAAAAUACAUUGUAAUCUCUGGGGACUAUCUCCUGUAAUAUCGAAUCAAAGAUUCCGCUUCUAUGCUAUCUUUAUUGAUGAAUA